GACGAACGCUGGCGGCGUGCUUAACACAUGCAAGUCGAACGCUGAAGCCCUUCGGGGUGGAUGAGUGGCGAACGGGUGAGUAACACGUGGGUAAUCUGCCCUGCACUCUGGGAUAAGCCUUGGAAACGGGGUCUAAUACCGGAUAGGACACAUCGCCGCAUGGUGUGUGUGUGGAAAGUUCCGGCGGUGCAGGUUGAGCCCGCGGCCUAUCAGCUUGUUGGUGGGGUGAUGGCCUACCAAGGCGACGACGGGUAGCCGGCCUGAGAGGGUGACCGGCCAGACUGGGACUGGGACACGGCCCAGACUCCUACGGGAGGCAGCAGUGGGGAAUCUUGCGCAAGGGGCGAAAGCCUGACGCAGCAACGCCGCGUGGGGGAUGACGGCCUUCGGGUUGUAAACCUCUUUCGACCGGGACGAAGGAUUCGUUUGACGGUACCGGUAGAAGAAGCACCGGCUAACUACGUGCCAGCCGCCGCCGUAACAC
rnacentral:rRNA from 1 species